AACGAACGCUGGCGGCAUGCCUAACACAUGCAAGUCGAACGAGACCUUCGGGUCUAGUGGCGCACGGGUGCGUAACGCGUGGGAACCUGCCCUUAGGUUCGGAAUAACUCCCCGAAAGGGGUGCUAAUACCGGAUAAUGUCUUCGGACCAAAGAUUUAUAGCCUUUGGAUGGGCCCGCGUUGGAUUAGCUAGUUGGUAGGGUAAAAGCCUACCAAGGCGACGAUCCAUAGCUGGUCUGAGAGGAUGAUCAGCCACACUGGGACUGGGACACGGCCCAGACUCCUACGGGAGGCAGCAGUGGGGAAUAUUGGACAAUGGGCGAAAGCCUGAUCCAGCAAUGCCGCGUGAGUGAUGAAGGCCUUAGGGUUGUAAAGCUCUUUUACCCGGGAUGAUAAUGACAGUACCGGGAGAAUAAGCUCCGGCUAACUCCGUG
rnacentral:rRNA from 1 species